rnacentral:rRNA from 1 species
GAUGAACGCUGGCGGCGUGCCUAAUACAUGCAAGUCGAGCGAACAGACGAGGAGCUUACUCCUCUGACGUUAGCGGCGGACGGGUGAGUAACACGUGGAUAACCUACCUAUAAGACUGGGAUAACUUCGGGAAACCGGAGCUAAUACCGGAUAACAUAUUGAACCGCAUGGUUCAACAGUGAAAGACGGUUUUGCUGUCACUUAUAGAUGGAUCCGCGUCGCAUUAGCUAGUUGGUAAGGUAACGGCUUACCAAGGCAACGAUGCGUAGCCGACCUGAGAGGGUGAUCGGCCACACUGGAACUGAGACACGGUCCAGACUCCUACGGGAGGCAGCAGUAGGGAAUCUUCCGCAAUGGGCGAAAGCCUGACGGAGCAACGCCGCGUGAGUGAUGAAGGUCUUCGGAUCGUAAAACUCUGUUAUUAGGGAAGAACAAAUGUGUAAGUAACUAUGCACGUCUUGACGGUACCUAAUCAGAAAGCCACGGCUAACUACGUG